rnacentral:sRNA from 1 species
GCCAGGCACAGUGGCGUGAGCCUGUAAUCCCAACAACUCAGGAGGCGGAGGCAGAGGCAGGAGGAUCACAAGUUUGAGGCCAGCUUCCAUAAUUUAGCGAGGCCCUAGGCAACUUACUGAGACCCUGUUUCAA